CUGACAGCAACAGAGACUGAAGUAGUUUGUUUCUCUAUCUAACAGGCAAAGCAUGGACAGCUGCAGGGCAAGCUUCCCCAUAUUCCACUUCUAAUGUGUCUUGAACCUCAUCAAGAGGGAUCAUCUCUAGAAAGAAUAUAAAAGUACUUCUACAUAUACUGUCCUCUCAGACAUUGGCCAAC
rnacentral:sRNA from 1 species